UGGGGCAGGUGCAUGAUCGCUCCGGCACUAAAGCCGGGGAGGAAAGUCCGAACACCUCAGGGCGCGGUGGUUCGUAACGCGAACUUCGGGUAACCGGAGGAAAGUGCCACAGAAAAUAUACCGCCGAUGAUCUGCCAGGCAGAUACAGGCAAGGUUGAAAUGGCGAGGUAAGAGCUCACCGCUUCCGUGGCGACAUGGAAGGCAUGGUAAACCCCACCGGGUGCAAAACCAAAUAGGGAAACAUUUAAAGGCGGCCCGCCAAUAGUUUCCGGGUAGGUUGCAAGAGGUGCCGGGUGACCGGCAUCCCAGAUAAAUGAUCAUGACCGCUUCGGCGGAUACAGAAUUCGGCUUAUAGCCUGCCCCAUUUU
rnacentral:RNase_P_RNA from 1 species